UACGUAGGGUGCAAACGUUGUCCGGAAUUAUUGGGCGUAAAGAGCUCGUAGGCGGUUUGUCGCGUCGGCCGUGAAAACUUGGGGCUUAACCCCGAGCCUGCGGUCGAUACGGGCAGACUUGAGUUCGGCAGGGGAGACUGGAAUUCCUGGUGUAGCGGUGAAAUGCGCAGAUAUCAGGAGGAACACCGGUGGCGAAGGCGGGUCUCUGGGCCGAUACUGACGCUGAGGAGCGAAAGCGUGGGGAGCGAACAGG
rnacentral:rRNA from 1 species